GCUCCAGUGGCGCAAUCGGUCAGCGCGCGCGGUACUUAUAAUGCCGAGGUUGUGAGUUCGAGCCUCACCUGGAGAA